UUCUGGAAUCGUCUUGCUUAGCCCUCCAGAAGAGGCUAACAACCUCACCACACUAGUGAAAGACCUCCGAGCCAAAGACUUUUCAGAGACCCUUGCAAGUGUCACAAGAAAUAGAGACAAGCCUACCUUAAAACAACAUUUUAGGCACUCUCCAAAUCUUGGAGAUCUUACCCGAGUUGGUUUAUUACUCACAAACCCAUAACGGAUUAAGUCACCUACAUGUGCCGCAUUUAGGCUGACGACUCUCUAACCAUGAUGCCCUACAACACCAAAGCCAAUGCCUCGAGAAAAAAGGCUAGUGUUUGUCAAUGAAAAACCCAGGAGUGCCUCUCAAAAUCAGGAACUCCAUAGUCGAUACCAAGAUAAAGCACGUCAACCCUAACCAUACAAACACUAGCCACAACAAAAUGGACGAUGGCAAUGUCACCAUGAAAAUCAAACUAGAAGCACCAUAAUUUGAUGGUCAACAUGACCCCAAGGGGUUUCUUGAUUAACUUGAUGUACUUGAAGAAUAAUUUGAGUUCUCCAGCAUUAACAACACCCAGAGUGAAUAUUUUCCUAGAAUAAAGCUCAGAGGGUCUGUCCAAUGUUAUUGACAAUAAUGUCACAUCAAGCAUUUAGAUAGGACUCUAUGCCUUCUGGGCCAAAAAUAAAUCAAUGUUAAAAGAAAACUGAGUCUCCACCAAUCAUAGGGAUCAUUUACUAGAACUUAGAUCAAUUCUUCAACAAUAGACAAGGUUCUCCUACUAUAGUACAUGACUCAUUUUAAGUAAUAUUUCACUGAUAUCACCAUCUCUAGCUACAGGUUUCCUUAUUUCCCAUGAGACGGGCAUCAACACCCCCCCUCUAGGUAAGUCCUUUACAAGAGAAUUACGAAUGUCAUAUUCAUAACGCUACAUGGUAUAUCACCAACCGUGAGAGAUAUUGAGCAUGCCAUUAAUCCGGAAUAAAGAGUGCCUAACCCUCCCCAUUAUAGGGCGACAAAGAUGGGGAGAGCUAAGUUGAAAGCUAAAAGGUCUAUCAUAGUAGUCUUACCUCUUUUCUUGUGCUUAUUUUACUCCCUCCUAAAUAGUAUGGACCUAGAAGAAUGUGCAUGGAUAGUCAAUCCAUCAACAUAAUUAAUGUCUUUAGAUUGUAUUUGAUUUUUAUAUUAAGCCCCUAUUUGGUGGAGACUAAAAUCAAAUUUUUAAUAAAUUUUGAUAAAAGUUGAUGAAAUGUGUGGUUGAAAUGUUGUGGGUCCCAUAAAAUGUGUGACUAAAAUUAAUUGUUGAUAUUGACUUAAAUUAAAAUCUAAAUUUUAAUUUUCACCAAAUAGGGCUAAAUAUGUUUUU
rnacentral:lncRNA from 1 species